AGCCGCGCAGCGCGGGGCGGGGUGGGGAUGGGGGCGGGCUUGCUGGGCCCGAAUAGAGCUUUCCGCGCCGCCUGCGGCCUCGACGGUGCUUGAACCGUGUUGUGGUAGCAGCCCCCACGCGGCGGUCCCUGGGGCCCUCGUGAGCCCCGAGGCCUCCGGGAGCCCCUGGGCCCAGCGGAGGAAGAUGGCGGCCUGGCCCCGGCGCUCCCGGGCUGACCGCUGACGGCCUGUGCUGCCCCUUCCUCUGGCAGGUCGGCACUCGGAGCCGUGCAGGCCUUCACAGAGGCACUCGGGGCUACAAGUAAAGAGCUACAGAUUGCCAUGUUUCCAAACUUCCCUCUGGUCUCCAAUUGACUGUCUGCAACACAAGAGAAUGUCUGUGUCCCAGAGCAUAAAGCAAGAUGUGUGCUGGAGGGAGGAACAGGACAUGAAAAAAUCUGCAUCUGGUCUGAUUUGGAACAAGAACACAUUUUGAAAUGUUCCAGAUUUUGACCACCAAAGGAAUGGGUGAGCAGUGGGUAGUCCAGUACUUCGAACCCCCUGGACAUCCUCAAGCAGCCUGCUGCCAGGCACCUUCUGAAGAACAUCAAGUAGUGGAAAUACUAAACACCAGGGAAAAUACUGACAAGGUUGUGGUUAAGUUCUUUUGUUUACAUACAAACAAAUGAUUAAGUGUGAUUUGAAUACAAUUAGUCACAGCUGUACCUAGAGUAUGGAAAUAAAUUCUGUUUUCAGUAGUAAUAAAUAUUUUGUAUGUUGUGUA